UCUUAUUCAGAGUGGUGGAGGUACAUAGGACCGAUGAAGCCACGGCAACCCCUUAUGAGGAAGGUGCCAACCUGAGCGAGUAAAUCGAACAAUAA
rnacentral:ncRNA from 1 species